GACGAACGCUGGCGGCGUGCUUAACACAUGCCAGUCGAACGGAAAGGCCCUGCUUUUGUGGGGUGCUCGAGUGGCGAACGGGUGAGUAACACGUGAGUAACCUGCCCUUGACUUUGGGAUAACUUCAGGAAACUGGGGCUAAUACCGGAUAGGAGCUCCUGCUGCAUGGCGGGGGUUGGAAAGUUUCGGCGGUUGGGGAUGGACUCGCGGCUUAUCAGCUUGUUGGUGGGGUAGUGGCUUACCAAGACUUUGACGGGUAGCCGGCCUGAGAGGGUGACCGGCCACAUUGGGACUGAGAUACGGCCCAGACUCCUACGGGAGGCAGCAGUGGGGAAUAUUGCACAAUGGGCGGAAGCCUGAUGCAGCAACGCCGCGUGCGGGAUGACGGCCUUCGGGUUGUAAACCGCUUUCGCCUGUGACGAAGCGUGAGUGACGGUAAUGGGUAAAGAAGCACCGGCUAACUACGUG
rnacentral:rRNA from 1 species